rnacentral:lncRNA from 1 species
CGAGAGACGUUUUCCUGGUGUUAGCGCAGAAGCAGACAUGCAGCCUGGAUAUGCUGGCUCCAGCCUGGCAGCUCUUUCGGCUGAGCAGGGACUGUGUGGAGCUCGGUGCCCACGCUGCCGCUGAGGAAGAAAGCUGCUCUCCCACUCUGUGCCGUGACGAUACACCUGCAGCCACAAGACCGUGGAGAUGGCGGCACUUGUCUCUGUUUGCCUGACUGGGGCCUUUGCAGGUGCUCCUCUUCCGAAGCUGUGCUGGCGUUCCAGGGCCGUGCAGAUGGGUAAUACAAUUUGCUGCAGUUUCUUACAUCAGUGUAGCAAAGCUCAAGCGAACAACCAGACUCUGACCUAAAUCAGUCCCAGUUCUUCGGGAUACAGGGCAGCAGGCGACUGGCAGUGAUACAAUCAGCCAUCAAGUGGAGAGGCUCUGGGACUGCAAUCUGUAUGGGUUGGAGUCUGUGAGAAUGAAACAGUUCCCGUUAUCCGGUCGCUUCUCCUUCUAAUAAUACAAUUGCUACAACUGCUACUACUACCGCAUCUGUUUCUCCAUGCCUGAAAGAAGCUGCUCCUUGCGCCCUCUCUGUGUGGGUAUUUGCGCAGAUUAGUCUGUUGGUAAUGCAGCCCUUAUCUGCUUCUGCUGGAAACCAGGGCACGAAGUCAGCCUGCCUUAACAGUUGUUUCUUUCUGCGUGAUGCUAUGCAGCUAGAAUGGGUUACGCUGACAACAAAGGAGCCAGCACAAAGCAUCACUUUAUUUGCUGGACUGCUACAGGAACCCGACUCUUCUUCGCUACGAAGCCCUGUUCUCUUCCCUUUUUGUUUUUUGUUUUUUGUUUUUUUUAUGUAAUUCAUCUAAUUGAAGAGCCUAACAGACACCAUCGUGGAUGUGGGUUUUAAUGAUUUGGAAAAGACAGCCUGUGGAGACUGCGAUUGGAGACUGCAACACGCUUAGGUUAUUGCCAAUUUGAAAUACUUGGUUUGUGAAGCACAGCCCUAAGGGACAAGCGCAGUAACUGAGAGAGAGAUCGUAGAUAAAGAAAUAAAAAUGACAAGCAUAAUGGAGGCUCUGCAAGAAACUGUCAGGGAAUCAGUUCAUGGAUGGCAAUUUCACCAGUCUGAAUCUGAAUAAUUCAUAGAUUGAAAUUACCCUGCUUUCACCUUUCCAUUUAAACUGGCAUGAUCUGAAUCUCUAAUAAAUUUUCAAGAUAAAGUAAAAUGCCAAUUUGAAUCUGAAGAGCUUUUAAAACCAAAUGCUACACCCUGAGUCUUUCGAUACCUUUCACAAUUAUCCUGUGAGAGCCGCACUUCAUCACGAAGCACCAUUACCAGUGAAAAUUACGGUGAUUACAAUAGCAACAAUAGAAUACCGUCAAAUGAUCUCCAAUUUACCUAAUUUACCAAGGUUGACUGUGUGCCCAUUGUGCUUCACUACGUCUGGCAUUGGAUCAAUAUCACAGAGGAAGAAAAAUGCCUUAGUAUAUGCUUCCUUUUGGUGCCUUUAACUUUGACAGCACAGGAAAAUCUAUCUCCUGUUAAAUGUUUUUACAGCCCAUCUGCAUGCCUGCCAUAGGAUCUGAUUGAUUCUCCAUCAUUUUCUUUGGUUGCUGAGUAUUGGAUGUUAUUGUGUUACUAAUUUGUUUAUAACGUGUACUCCUGCACAAAGACUGCAGCAAACGAGUAACAGCACAGCGACUGCGCUGCUGCAGCAGUAGCACUGCACUCUCUCGCAGGGGAAGCCAAAAUGAGUUUGGUGCCUUAUGUGAAUAAUCACUUGCAUCUGGGUUAUAAAUGCUUCCAAACAUCACUCAUCUUGGUUGCACGACAUGAGAAAUGUGUGCAAAAGUCGUGGUCAAGGGAAAUGGUUAUCUGUAAUCCUAACAAGAUUUCUCCCCUAUCCAGCAAUCAGUAUGAGGCUGUGAGAGAUAAGCUGUGACUCUUUCUUUAAAUGUGUGUGUGUACAUACGCAUGCACGUACAUAGGAGGUAAGGAUAGUAUGCGUUGUGAUUACGUGCUGAUCAGUGAAAGCCACAUUUCUCUGACAAGCCAGGCACAGUGUUUUGCCACAAUCUGCUCAGUUGUAACAAAUCCCGGUUUUGGAGUUUAUAUUUUCUAUAGGACAAUACGUGACUUCUGGAACAGUAAGUACCAUUUAUCCAGCAUGCCGGUGCCUGUAGCAAUGCCACGGAAUGGUAUUUUAAGCAUAGUUUGACUACAGUGUGGAUAAGUAAGAAACAUGCACAGGAGGCUACAACAGGCAUUCCUCCUGGAGAAGACUGUGUCCGUUGUCUGUAUGUGUGUGAGUUGUCCACAUCAAUCUUGUUUCUUCUUUUAUGACCAGAUUUACUCUGCCCCCACGAAGUAUUUGCUAAGGAAGACAAUCCCUGUGGAGCUGAUAGCUGUGGACUAAUGACUGGUAUACCAAGCAGAUAAGCUGUGGACAUUUUUCAGUGUUAACAUAAUGACUUUCAUCAAAGGAGGAAGAAGUCUACUUAUUUUUCAUUUUGUUAAGCAAGUGGAGAAACUCCUCCAGACGUAGUCGCUGCAGAAGCCUGGGGUCAGUGCACAGCUCGCUGCCUGCGGGAACCACCUUCUUUACAGGCUUCUGAAAAAUAAGCACAUUGCUCAGCCAUGUUAGGUCUUUCAUGUUGCGUGCUCCACACUAAAGAAAUAAGCUAGCAUUGUGAAAGAGACUGCCUGGUGACCGUCCCACCAUCUCUGUUGCUCACAGGAAACCACUACUGCUGCACUUGGGACAACACUGAUUCUUCUGUGUCUGAAGUUGUGGCUUCAAAUUGCAGUAAAGCUGAUAAAAUAACCAGCUGCUGUGAAAAGAAGUGUCCUCAUACUUCCCCUCUUGCAUGUAAUCUCCCUUGUGCUAGCUGUGGUCUGUGCCUGGUCCCAUGGUAAACUGGUGCAGGGAGAUGGCCAGCAACAUGCCACCCUCCUCAAAGAAGUAGUUCUCAGUGUGGAGUUGUCUUAGUCAAGUUUGUCAUUAAACAGCAGCAAGCACAAGAAACUACUGAGCAUUUUUUUCACAUGUGCAGGAAAAGAUUGAGGUUGUUUUAUUAUUUUACAAACCAAAAGAUCCAAAAUACCCCGUAUGGUAUUUUAUUACAUUAUCUCUUAUUCCUUGGAACCUAUCAUAGAA